rnacentral:rRNA from 1 species
GCAUAAUGGAGAUAUUAGAAGUGUAUAGAUUAAUUAUAGCGAAACUAGAUGAGCUACGUAAAUAUAAUUAUUAGAUUAGUGUAUGUAACAUAAUAUAAAUAAAUAUAUACUUAGGGGUGAUAGGCCUUCCAAAUCUAGUGAUAUCUCGAUACUUGAGAAAGACAUUGAGUGUUUAAAUAAUUAUAUAGUGAUUAGGCUAUCUAAAAACAUGAAGAGUUUAAAAUUUCGGUAUUUUAAUUUAAUUAUUAAAUACUUAUUAUAAUAAUAUUUAUAUGAUUAUAUUUAUGGAGUUUAUUAAGUCUUGUUAUAAUUUGAAAAUAUAUUGAUAAUGUAUCUAUUAGUAAUAAUAUAUGUGUUUAAAAUGAACUCGGCAACCUAUCCUUCAACUGUUUACCAAAAACAUAGUUAUGAGUAUAUAUUCAUAAUGACUUCUGCUCAAUGAAAAUUAAAUAGCCGCAGUACCCUGACUGUGCAAAGGUAGCGUAAUAAUUUGGCUUAUAAUUGAAGUCCCGUAUGAAUGAAUACAUGGGGGAUAACUUUAUUUUAUACAAUAAUUGAACUUACUUUAGAAGUGCAAAGUCUUCUAGAGAAAUGAUAGACGAGAAGACCCUUGAAAUUUUCAAAAAUAGCAACAAUAACUUUUUGUUGGGGCAACAGAGUAUCACAUAAUUUACUUUAUAUAACACGCACAUAUUUGUGGAAGAAUAAAUUACUCUAGGGAUAACAGCGUAAUUUAAUAAAGUUUGCGACCUCGAUGUUGGACUAGGAAAAGAUUGUUCAGAAGACAUGAUAUUAAGCUCUGUUCGAGCUAAGCAAUCCUACAUGAUC